GGGGAUUUAGCUCAGCGGUAGAGUGCUUGCCUAGCAAGCACAAGGCCCUGGGUUCAGUCCCCAGCUCCG
rnacentral:tRNA from 1 species